GAGACACCCUUCUGGGGCAAGACUUGCUUCAGUGGGGCUUUGGUGCUCACUGAGUCUGCCCCCUGAGUGUGUCCAU
rnacentral:pre_miRNA from 1 species